UCCCUUCCUGGUAAGAUGGCGGCGCCCAAGUGGAGUGCGUCGGGCCUCUGGAUCCGGGGAAACGGCCAGGGUUUCGGGAGUAUCUUCACCCCUGUCUCAAAGCCAUUUUGUUCCGCUGCCGCUGCUUCUACGUCCAUAAAUGCUCAGAGAUUAGCGGAGAGGCUCCGAGCCCAGAAACGGGAACAAGACACAAAGAAGGUGCCGGUGUCCACAAACGCUGUUCAGCGGAGAGUGCAAGAAAUAGUGCGGUUCACACGGCAGCUGCAGCAAGUCCACCCCAACGUGCUUGCUAAGGCACUGACCCGAGGAAUUCUCCACCAGGACAAGAACCUUGUGGUCAUCAAUAAGCCCUACGGUCUCCCUGUGCAUGGUGGCCCUGGGGUCCAGCUCUGCAUCACUGAUGUACUACCUAUCCUGGCAAAGAUGCUUCAUGGCCACAAGGCAGAGCCCUUGCAUCUGUGCCACCGGCUGGACAAGGAAACCACAGGCGUAAUGGUGUUGGCUUGGGACAAGGACAUGGCACAUCAAGUCCAAGAGUUGUUUAGAACCCGUCAGGUGGUGAAGAAGUACUGGGCCAUCACUGUGCGUGUCCCCAUGCCCUCAGCAGGAGUCGUGGACAUCCCCAUUGUGGAGAAGGAGGUGCAAGGCCAGCAGCAGCACCACAAGAUGACAUUGUCCCCGAGCUACCGCAUGGAUGAUGGGAAAAUGGUGAAAGUGCGGCGCAGCCGGAAUGCACAAGUUGCUGUAACUCAGUACCAGGUGCUCAGCAGCACUCUCUCCUCCGCUCUCUUGGAGCUCCAGCCCAUUACUGGAAUAAAACAUCAGCUUCGAGUUCACUUGUCUUUUGGAUUGGAUUGUCCAAUCCUUGGUGAUCACAAGUACUCAGACUGGAAUAGGUUGGCCCCCCAGAAGCUAUCCGUGGGCACCCUGAAGAAGCUGGGGCUGGAACAGUCGAAGGCCCGCUACAUCCCCCUUCACCUGCACGCCCGGCAGCUGAUCCUGCCUGCCCUGGGGUCCAGGAAGGAGGAACUCAACUUGGUCUGCAAACUUCCUCGCUUCUUUGUACAUUCCCUGCACCGCCUGCGUUUAGAGAUGCCAAAUCAGGAUCAAAAUGAGAACGGUGAAGCCAAGUGUCUGGGAGCACAGUGAAGACCGUGGGAGCACCCUGGCACCUGGGAGCACAGUGAAGACCCUGAGAGCACCCUGGCACCUGGGAGCACAGGCUGGAGUGCAAUGGCGUGAUCUCGGCUCACUGCAACCUCUGCUCCCUGGGUUCAAGCGAUUCUCCUGCUUCAGCCUCCCGAGUAGCUGGGAUUACACGUGCCUGCCACCACACCUGGCUAAUUUUUUGUAUUUUUAGUAGAGACGGGGUUUCACCAUGUUGGCCAGGGUGGUCUCAAACUCCUGACCUCAGGUGAUCCACCCGCCUUGGCCUUCUGAAGUGCUGGGAUUACAGACGUGAGCCGCUGCACCCGGCCUUUCCCAGCCUAGGAAAGAAGAUUCCACGAGAGAAAGCAAGCAAGAGGCUUAGAGGGCCUGUGAUCACAGCUGAGACUAGCUCUUCUUUUCCCUACUCCCACACGGAACCCCGAAACCCGACACUCAUGGUAAUUUCUGUAUUCGACCUUUGUUGCCUAUGUGGAGCCUGUUACGUUUAAAAGCUCCCAAUAAUAGCCCUGUGAGGGAUAUACUAUUCUUCCUUGUUUUUAUUUCCAUUUUACAGAUGAUGAACAUGAAGCCGAGUGGUCCAUUGAUUUCCCGAGGUCACAUCUGUACACAGCAGAAACAGGGUCUUCUCAUGUCACCCAGGCUGGAAUGCAGUGGCACAAUCAUGGUCCACUGCAGCCUCGACCUCCUGGGCUUAAGCUGCCCUGCAUCCUCAGCCUUCCAAGUAGCUGGGACUACAGGCGUGAGCCACUGUGCCUGGGUAGAGUUACCCUUGUGUGACCUUCUGUCUCCAUUGCCCUCUGUGGGUUCAGGAACACCGACUGCACAGCUGCAAUGUUCCAGUCGUUAGCUAGGCUCUUUCGUGUGGCCUGCUCCAUCUAAUCGCCUCGGUAACCCCUUCAUAGAGGAGGAAACAGAGGCUAGGAGAGGUGAAAAGUCAGCCUGGGGCGCACAGCAAUCGCUGCCUUUUCUCCUUCCCAGGACUCUGAAGGGAUCAGCAAUGCUUUCCUAGUUCAAGUUGUGCUGCAGCAACUUCACAAAAUGCCAGUUUUAUGCGUUUAUAAACACCAAGUUUAACAAACAUGUUGAGUGCAUUCCGUACAUUAGGCACUGGGUAAGUCUGGGGUAUGGGUGGGCGUGUCCAGCAGGUCACCUGCCCGUCUCUGGACCACUCGAUCUCCAGCCUAGCCUCUGUGUGCCGGCAAGGGUGGAGGGGGAGGGACCCGGUGUGGGGAUGCAUGCAGUGGAUUGGGGGUGAGGGUGGGGUAGGGGUGGAGGGGGACCGGGUUUAAUGAGGUGACUGCCACUUGUAAAUGAAACAGAAGGUGGAGCUGCUUGUGUGAACCUUGACCUCUCCUGUCCAGCAUGCCUUUCAUCGGGAGCUUUAUGAGCAGCCGCUGUGCUCCGACGGGACCCACCGCAGCCUGGGGGAAGGUAGGGCUGGUCCCAGAGUGGAGAGGAGGCCGCCUGGGGGAGGGGUGCAGGCCCAGCUUCCACAGAGCCCUGCACCUCUGUCGUCCCUCCUAGGAGUUUUGGAAAAUAAAUGGGUAGGGCUGGAUUUGAGAGGCGUUGCUUAACACUGGAUUGCAAACUUGGAGACUUCUGAAAAUGCACAUUUCUAGGCCUAUCCCUGCUGCUUCUGGUUCAGUCGGUUUGGUUUCUGGCUUGAAAAUUUGUAAUUCUAAAAAGCUCUCACAGUGAUUCUUAAAACCAGUCAAGUUUAGGAGCCACAGUCUUGCAACACAAGGUAACGCCAACUCCAACAGAACCAUCAGCUAGGAUUUGAAACCCCAGUGCUCAGGGGUAAUCGUCACCCCAUUUACUGAGUGUCCCCACGUACUGGACACUGUGUUGUCUUGCAGCCGUUACCCAUCGGACCCUCCAGAUAAUUCUGCAAGGCGGAUGGGAUUGUCUACAAUUCACACGUGAGCCGGAGAUUAAAUAACUCAACCAAGGGGAUCACUUCUCUGCCUUUUGGCUAAGAUCAAGUGUAACUCAACCAAGAAGAAACAGAACCGAGAUUCGAAAAUGAUUCAUUUCACUCCAAAAGUUCUCUUGUCAAGCAGAUACUGUCUCAUUGGCUUUAUGAAGCUUACAUAAAGGUGGCGGUUCACAUGGAGAUAUCCAGAAACCCAGAAAUUGCAGGAACCCAGAAAUCACUGUCUUAUUUUAUUCUAAGUGUAGCCCUGGAGCCAGCUUUGGACAUCAUGAUUAAAGACAGCCCUGCAGGGCAGAGGCACCUGGAUGGCUUGUUCUCAGUUGCAUCCCCAGUGCCCAGCACAGGCCUGGUACAUAGGAAAUGCUUGGGACAUGCUUGUCAAAUAGGUAGUAAAUACUGACCAAACGAACAAAAUAAAAGGGCCCUGGAUACAAAGCCUAAGGUGGCCCCUUCUUCAUUGUA